GGGAAGGUGGCUCAGUGGUAGAGCGCUUGCCUUGCAUGCAAGAGGUCCUGGGUUCAAUUCCUCACCACCA
rnacentral:tRNA from 1 species